GACGAACGCUGGCGGCGUGCUUAACACAUGCAAGUCGAACGGAAAGGCCCUGCUUUUGUGGGGUGCUCGAGUGGCGAACGGGUGAGUAACACGUGAGUAACCUGCCCCUGACUUUGGGAUAACUACAGGAAACUGGGGCUAAUACCGGAUAGGAGCUCCUGCUGCAUGGUGGGGGUUGGAAAGUUUUGGCGGUUGGGGAUGGACUCGCGGCUUAUCAGCUUGUUGGUGGGGUAGUGGCUUACCAAGGCGUUGACGGGUAGCCGGCCUGAGAGGGUGACCGGCCACAUUGGGACUGAGAUACGGCCCAGACUCCUACGGGAGGCAGCAGUGGGGAAUAUUGCGCAAUGGGCGGAAGCCUGACGCAGCGACGCCGCGUGCGGGAUGACGGCCUUCGGGUUGUAAACCGCUUUCGCCUGUGACGAAGCGUGAGUGACGGUAAUGGGUAAAGAAGCACCGGCUAACUACGUG
rnacentral:rRNA from 1 species